ACUCCUACGGGAGGCAGCAGUGGGGAAUCUUGCGCAAUGGGCGAAAGCCUGACGCAGCAACGCCGCGUGCGGGAUGAAGGCCUUCGGGUUGUAAACCGCUUUCAGGAGGGACGAAAACAGACGGUACCUUCAGAAGAAGCCCCGGCCAACUACGUGCCAGCAGCCGCGGUAAUACGGAGGGGGCCAGCGUUGUUCGGAAUUAUUGGGCGUAAAGGGCGCGUAGGCGGCCGACUAAGUCAGACGUGAAAUCCCUCGGCUUAACCGGGGAACUGCGUCUGAUACUGGUGGGCUUGAGUUUGGGAGAGGGAUGCGGAAUUCCAGGUGUAGCGGUGAAAUGCGUAGAUAUCUGGAGGAACACCGGUGGCGAAGGCGGCAUCCUGGACCAACACUGACGCUGAGGAGCGAAAGCCAGGGGAGCAAACGGGAUUAGAUACCCCGGUAGUCCUGGCCCUAAACGAUGAAUGCUUGGUGUGGCGGGUAUCGAUCCCUGCCGUGCCGAAGCUAACGCAUUAAGCAUUCCGCCUGGGGAGUACGGUCGCAAGGCUGAAACUUAAAGGAAUUGACG
rnacentral:rRNA from 1 species